rnacentral:rRNA from 1 species
UACGGAGGAUGCAAGCGUUAUCCGGAAUUACUGGGCGUAAAGCGUCCGUAGGUGGACUUACAAGUCUGCCGUCAAAGUGCACAGCUUAACUCUGUAAAGGCGGUGGAAACUGUAGGUCUUGAGUAUGGUAGGGGUAGAGGGAAUUCCCGGUGUAGCGGUGAAAUGCGUAGAUAUCGGGAAGAACACCAGUGGCGAAAGCGGUCUACUGGGCCAUAACUGACACUGAGGGACGAAAGCUAGGGGAGCGAAAGGG